rnacentral:rRNA from 1 species
GGGGUGACUGCGUACCUUUUGUAUAAUGGGUCAGCGACUUAUAUUCUGUAGCAAGGUUAACCGAAUAGGGGAGCCGGAGGGAAACCGAGUCUUAACCGGGCGUUAAGUUGCAGGGUAUAGACCCGAAACCCGGUGAUCUAGCCAUGGGCAGGUUGAAGGUUGGGUAACACUAACUGGAGGACCGAACCGACUAAUGUUGAAAAAUUAGCGGAUGACCUGUGGCUGGGGGUGAAAGGCCAAUCAAACCGGGAGAUAGCUGGUUCUCCCCGAAAGCUAUUUAGGUAGCGCCUCGUGAAUUCAUCUCCGGGGGUAGAGCACUGUUUCGGCUAGGGGGCCAUCCCGGCUUACCAACCCGAUGCAAACUGCGAAUACCGGAGAAUGUUAUCACGGGAGACACACGGCGGGUGCUAACGUCCGUCGUGAAGAGGGAAACAACCCAGACCGCCAGCUAAGGUCCCAAAGUCAUGGUUAAGUGGGAAACGAUGUGGGAAGGCCCAGACAGCCAGGAUGUUGGCUUAGAAGCAGCCAUCAUUUAAAGAAAGCGUAAUAGCUCACUGGUCGAGUCGGCCUGCGCGGAAGAUGUAACGGGGCUAAACCAU